UACGUAGGGGGGCUAGCGUUGUCCGGAAUCAUUGGGCGUAAAGCGCGUGUAGGCGGUCCGGUAAGUCCGCUGUGAAAGUCGAGGGCUCAACCCUCGAAUGCCGGUGGAUACUGUCGGGCUUGAGUACGGGAGAGGCGAGUGGAAUUCCUGGUGUAGCGGUGAAAUGCGCAGAUAUCAGGAGGAACACCGAUUGCGAAGGCAGCUCGCUGGAACGUUACUGACGCUGAGACGCGAAAGCGUGGGGAGCGAACAGG
rnacentral:rRNA from 1 species